rnacentral:rRNA from 1 species
AUGCGUUGCCCACUGUCGUCCUCGAUCGGCCGGAGUCAUCCUCCUCCUCGUAUGCUCCUCCCAUGGCUCGGGCCUCGCCUCCUCCUCUUGGCUGUCGUCGUCCUCUCGGCGAUCAUCCCAGCACCGAUGCUCGCCGCGGCACCAGACGUCGGCGGCUGCAUGCCGGGGAAAUGCGGCAACCUGACAGUCUCCAUCCCGUUCGGUGUCGUCUCGGGCUCUGAGGAGAACCGGUGCGCCCAGAUGGGGUUCCAGGUCAACUGCAACGAAGGCGUCCCCUACCUCGGGUACUACGAGCCCGGGUUCGGGCUGCAGAUUCUCGAAAUCUUCUACAGCAACGGCUCCUUGCUCGUCUCCUACGUCCACAAGCUCGGCGGCUUCUCCAAUAGUUCGAGCUCCAAAGGCUGCCACGUCCCGACGGCCGAUACGGCAACCAAAGUCGGCCACCCGUUCUCCAUCAGCUCUCUCAACAAGAACCUCGUCUUCUACAACUGCACGAAGCCGCCGGCGCCGUGGACGGCGCGCCGAGCGGGGCUGGUGGACACGGUGUGCCGGAACAACACGUUUGUCCGCGCGGGAGGGUGGUACAACGAGACGGGCGGGAUUGACGGCGGCUACGCUCUGGAGGGCUGCACCGCCACCGCCGUGCCGGUGCUCGCGGCGUCCGGCGACGUGAAUGCCGGCGACUACGAGGAGCUCAUCAGGGAUGGCUUCCUCCUCACAUGGCUGCUGCCGCCUGGUAGCAAGAACAAAACGAAGAAGAUUAUACUAAUAGGUAUAACAUCAGCAGCUGCAACCAUUCUCUUUGCAUGUCUUUAUGUGCUGAUAUGGCAUGGAAAAGGGCAAGGACUAUGGUUUCUCCUUUGCAAGACUAGCAGCAAAACUGAAAAAAAAUACGAGGCAAUGAUAGUGUCGUAUGGAUCCCUAGCUCCAAAAAGAUACAUGUACUCAGAGGUAAUGAAGAUAACGUCUUCUCGCAAUAAUCAGCUUGGAAAAGGUGGUUAUGGUGUGGUUUUCAAAGGAAGAUUACAUGAUGGUCGUCUGGUUGCUGUGAAAUUCUUGCAUGACUGCAAAGGAAAUGGGGACGAGUUUGUGAACGAGGUUAUGAGCAUUGGAAGGACCUCUCAUGUUAAUGUUGUUAGCUUAUUUGGGUUUUGUUUGGAGGGAUCAAAACGAGCUCUUAUAUAUGAGUACAUGCCCAACGGUUCCUUGGAUAAGUACAUUUACUCAGAGAACCCCAAAGAAAUUUUAGGAUGGGAGAGGCUCUAUGCGAUAGCACUCGGGAUUGCUCGUGGCCUCGAAUACUUGCACCAUAGCUGUAAUACACGUAUCGUCCAUUUCGAUAUCAAGCCCCCAAAUAUCCUUCUAGACAAGGAUUUUAACCCGAAGAUUGCUGAUUUUGGUCUAGCUAAAUUGUGUCAAACAAAAGAGAGCAAGCUUUCAAUGACUGGUGCUAGAGGAACAAUUGGAUUCAUCGCUCCAGAAGUUCACUCUCGAACAUUUGGAGUGGUUUCAACAAAGUCAGAUGUUUAUAGUUAUGGAAUGAUGCUUUUGGAGAUGGUUGGAGGCAGGAGAAAUGUAAAAUCAACUGUUGCAAAAUCAAGCGAAAAGUAUUUUCCAGACUAGAUUUACGAUCACUUUGCACAAGAUGAUGGACUACAAGCAUGUGAAGUGACAAGAGAAAUUGAGGAGAUUGCGAGAAAGAUGACAUUCAUUGGCUUGUGGUGCAUACAAGUGUUACCUAUGUAUCGCCCUACUAUAACCAAAGUUCUAGAAAUGUUCGAGAGAAGCUCAGAUGACAUGGACAUGCCACCGAAGCAAAACUUCUCUGGAUUGCUUGAAAGUUCAGCUCACAAUAUGGAUGUACAAAGUUCAAGUUCUACCAGAUCUGAGGAGAUCAGCCUUGUGAAUUCAAAAAUCGUACAACAAUCGCCAACUCUUUGA